rnacentral:tRNA from 2 species
AAGAAAUUAGUUAAUUUAUAACAUUAGUAUGUCAUACUAAAAUUAUUAAGGCAUUAAUAUUUCUUU